GAUGAACGCUGGCGGCGUGCCUAAUACAUGCAAGUCGAGCGAACAGACGAGAAGCUUGCUCCUCUGACGUUAGCGGCGGACGGGUGAGUAACACGUGGAUAACCUACCUAUAAGACUGGGAUAACUUCGGGAAACCGGAGCUAAUACCGGAUAAUAUAUUGAACCGCAUGGUUCAAUAGUGAAAGACGGUUUUGCUGUCACUUAUAGAUGGAUCCGCGCUGCAUUAGCUAGUUGGUAAGGUAACGGCUUACCAAGGCAACGAUGCAUAGCCGACCUGAGAGGGUGAUCGGCCACACUGGAACUGAGACACGGUCCAGACUCCUACGGGAGGCAGCAGUAGGGAAUCUUCCGCAAUGGGCGAAAGCUUGACGGAGCAACGCCGCGUGAGUGAUGAAGGUCUUCGGAUCGUAAAACUCUGUUAUUAGGGAAGAACAUAUGUGUAAGUAACUGUGCACAUCUUGACGGUACCUAAUCAGAAAGCCACGGCUAACUACGUG
rnacentral:rRNA from 1 species